rnacentral:lncRNA from 1 species
UAAUAACAAUCGACAAUGAUGGCCUUAACAGAAUAUGAAACUGAAAGCUUUUACUGUUUAACAAAAAUACGAAAACAAAUGCUUCCAUUCAACCACUAUACUGUUAUUACAAGCAAACUCUACCUCAAAACAUGGAUUUCACCACCGUUUCUUUCCUAAAUUUUACAUGUUAUCAGGAUGGAAAAGCAAACCAGGAUAGGAUUUUGAUCAGGGACAAGUUUUUUGAGGAGAGAUGGCUAAUUCAAACAGCUCAGGAGGGAUAGACAGGGAAGGAGAAGAAGAGUUGGACAGGAAUGGGGAAGAAGAAUAGGCAAACUCUAUAUCAGAAUGUUGUAAUAUACAGUUCACAAAGAAAACAAGAACAAAAGGAAGAAACACUGGACGGGGUCUUACAAGGUCAAGAAAAGGUCUUACAAGGUCAAGAAGACAAAAAAAAAAAGAAGAAUGAUGAUGUAAAAAUAAAAAUAAAAAGCUCAGGUAGGAUAGCACCAGAUUAAGAUGAACAAGCAUCUGUUGGAUGGUAGCUGCCGGCACCAAAUUGGAAUCCACCAAUAAUUUCAUUCCUCAACAGUACUUGCUUGCCCUUGAUGAUCAUACUCCCAUGCAUCAGUACUAGGGAACCUGCAUGACAUACAUGACAAGAAUACAGAUGGAAUGAAUAGGGAUUGAUUAAAGGCAAAUUGGAUCAAUUCUUUGUAAAUACAUAUGAACUCGGCAGAUUUAAGACAAUCAGCUGCAACAAAAAAGAAGAAGAGCUUGACAGUGGGAGAAAUUUCUUUUUUUUUUUUUGUUUAAAAAAAUCGUUUUAAUUCAAUCAUGAAAUGUUUGAACCAGCUGAAAGUGCAAAAGAACAUGUAGCAUAGGCUUUUAUGAACAUGUGAAGAAAUAAAUAAUAAUGACAGCACAGAGAAAAAAGAUCAGAGCUUUGACACUAUGAAAAGUCUUUUUUCAUACCCUGUGGAAGCUUGUGCUUUGCUUUCUCCUGUGAAAGCUUUUCUUUUUCCUCCAUAUUUUCUAGAGAAUGACAGCUAAUGAGAAUUAUAAGCACAGGGAAAGGUGAAGACUCUUUGUAAGAGAAAAGUGAGAGAUGGGGUUAGGCUUAUAAAGCCGGAGAGGUGACUCAGACAGCGGGGAAAAGGGAGAGAUUUCAGGGUAGCCCAUGGACCUGAAAGCAACUUGUCCAGGCCCAAAGGAAAAAAAAAAAAGGAAUUUGGUUCAAUUAAAUACAUGUUUAGACUAAUGAGACUGUGUAUGUUUGAUUUGCGUGGUCUUAGGUGUACAAAGAAAAGGUGUUUUUGAAAUAUUAAAAC